rnacentral:sRNA from 1 species
CUGAGCAAAUAGCCAAGAUCCUACUGAGAAAUUGAGCGACUGCAUUACUGCAGAGAGCAUGGAGAGUUUUCUCUGAUGACAGAGUAUUCCCUGAGCAUUCAAUGAAUCUUUUACUUUUAUCGUGGGGCUUCUAGUAAGAAAGUCAGAAUGCAAACUUUGUCCUGACUUAAUUGCAUCUGAGGAGGGUGAUGGCUGGAAGCAGCAGGAGAAAGAAGGAAGCUUAGACCAUGCGAGCUUCGUCCAGCAUCCAAUGACCUGUCCAUCUUCUCCUUCCACUGUUUUGCCUUUGGGCGACCCACUUCACAGGAUAAGAUGAGGGACACCAUGAUAUAUUCUCAGAUUUCUAUGAUUUUAUGAGAAGUCUGUGCUCAGAAUAACUUUUCACUGUUUUCUAUUGGCUCUCAGGCUUGUCAGAUGUCGCGCGCCUAACGUCUCGCCGGCAAGAAUGACGCGCGGACACCAGGAUCCUUCUGCAAUAAAGUGUUUAUUGCAUCUUGAAGAGGAGAGAGUGAGCCCCAGAAUGGCACUGCUUUAAUACAUCCUAAUGUGGCGUGUCCACGCCUGAUUGGUCGCUUACCCAUGAUAUCAUUGGCACGCCCCGGGGUGGGC